UACCUGGUUGAUCCUUCCAGUAGUCAUAUGCUUGUAUCAAAGAUUAAGCCAUGCAUGUGUAAGUAUGAACAAAUUCAGACUGUGAAACUGCGAAUGGCUCAUUAAAUCACUUAUACUUUGUUUGAUGGUAUCUACUACUCGGAUAACUAUACUAAUUCUAGAGCUAAUAGGUGAAACAAACCCCGACUUCUGGAAGGGAUGCAUUUAUUAGAUAAAAGGUCGAUGCGGGCUCUGCCAGCUGCUGCGAUGAUUCAUGAUAACUCGACGGAUCGCACGGCCAUCGUGCCGGUGACGCAUCAUUCAAAUUUCUGACCUAUGAACUUUUGAUGGUAGGACAGUGGCCUACCAUGGUGGUGACGGGUGACGGAGAAUUAGGGUUCGAUUCCGGAGAGGGAGCCUGCAAAACGGCUACCACAUCCAAGGAAAGCAGCAGGCGCGCAAAUUACCCAAUCCUGACACGGGGAGAUAAGUGACAAUAAAUAACAAUACUGGGCUCCAUGAGUCUGGUAAUUGGAAUGAGUACAAUCUAAAUCCCUUAACGAGGAUCCAUUGGAGGGAAAGUCUGGUGCCAGCAGUCGCGGUAAUUCCAGCUCCAAUAGCGUAUAUUUAAGUUGUUGCAAUUAAAAAGCUCGUAGUUGAACUUUGGGAUGGGCCGGCCGGUCCGCCCUAGAUGUGCACCGGUCGUCUCGUCCCUUCUGUCGGGUGAUGCGCUCAUGGCGUUUAAUGGCCGGGUCGUGCCUCCGACGCUGUUACUUUGAAGAAUUAGAGUGCUCAAAGAAAGCCUACGCUCUGUAUACAUUAGCAUGGGAUAACAUUAUAGGAUUUUGGUCAUAUUACGUUGGCCUUCAGGAUCGGAGUAAUGAUUAACAAGGACAGUCGAGGGCAUUCGUAUUUCAUAGUUAAAGGUGAAAUUCUUGGAUUUAUGAAAGAUGAACAACUGCGAAAGCAUUUUCCAAGAAUAUUUUGAUUAACCAAGAAUGAAAUUUGGGGGCUCGAAGAUGAUUAGAUACCGUCCUAGUCUCAACCGUAAACGAUGCCGACCAGGGAUCGACGGAUGUUGCUUUUAGGACUCUCCCGCCACCUUAUGAGAAAUCAAAGUUUUUGGGUUCUGGUGGGAGUAUGGUUGCAAGGCUGAAACUUAAAGGAAUUGACGAAAUGGCACCACCAGGAGUGGAGCCUGUGGCUUUAUUUGACUCAACACGGGGAAACUUACAAGGUCCAAACAUAGUAAGGAUUGACAGACUGAGCGCUCUUUCUUCAUUCUACUGGUUGUGGUGCAUGGUCGUUCUUAGUUGGUGAAACGAUUUGUCUGGUUAAUUCCAUUAACGAAUGAGACCUCAUCCUGCUAACUAGCUAUGCGGAGGUAUCCCUUCGUGGCCAGCUUCUUAGAGAGACUACGGCCUUUUUGGCCGCGAAUGUUUGAGGCAAUAACAGGUCUGUGAUGCUCUUAGAUGUUAUGGGCCGCACGCGCGCUACACUGAUUAUUCAACGAGCUUAUAGCCUUGGCCAAUAGGCCUGGUUAAUCUUCGAAAUUUCAUUGUGAUAGGUAUAUAUCAUUGCAUUUAUUGGUUUUCAACGAGGAAUUCCUAGUAAGCACGAGUCAUCAGCUCGCGUUGACUACGUCCCUGCCCUUUGUACACACCGCUCGUCGCUCCUACCGAUUGAAUGAUUUAGUGAAAUGUUCGGAUCGCGGCGACAUGGGUGGUUCGCUGCCCGCGAAGUCGUGAGAAGUCCAUUGAACCUUAUCAUUUAGAGGAAGGAGAAGUCGUAACAAGGUUUCCAUAGGUUAACCUGCGGAAGGAUCAUUG
rfam:Solanum lycopersicum cultivar Heinz 1706 chromosome 11, whole genome shotgun sequence.